rnacentral:rRNA from 1 species
UACGAAGGGGGCUAGCGUUGUUCGGAAUUACUGGGCGUAAAGGGCGCGUAGGCGGUGUGUCAAGUCAGGCGUGAAAGCCCCGGGCUCAACCUGGGAACCGCGCUUGAGACUGGCACGCUCGAGUUCGGGAGAGGAUGGUGGAAUUCCCAGUGUAGAGGUGAAAUUCGUAGAUAUUGGGAAGAACACCGAUGGCGAAGGCAGCCAUCUGGACCGACACUGGCGCUGAGGCGCGAAAGCGUGGGGAGCAAACGGG